UUUUACGACACCAAUAGUCACAUAACAUUGAUGGCUUUCACAAGGUAACACUGUUGAAGGACAAAGCUAGCCCAUUCCCCUCCACCCUCCCAGAGUCCCCAGGUCAAAAGCCUCCCGGUACCGCUUUACUGCAGGGUCUGGUCGACUGCAGGAAAACACCGGGGCAGAGUGGAACUGAGAGAGGAAGAGAAGGAAGAUGGAGAUUUGAUUUCAUUAAGAGACGGCACUAACCGUUGCUCUCUCAGUGGGAGGGGCUUAUCAUCUGGGGAG